GGAAUCACAACUUAUAAUUAAUUAAUGCACAGUGAUAUAGCUUGACCCAGAUUCCCAAACUGGAAUGUUUCAACUACAACUGACAGAAAAUGUGUAACUCUCAUCUUCCAAGCAGACUUAGUUAGCAUGCCUCCUCCCUCUGGACUUCAAGAUUUCUUCAGAGAUGAGGUCUCUCACUAAUCCUGGAGCUAUUCUGCAGACUGCAAAACCCAGAGUCUUCUGUCUCCACUGAGCACAGCAGUGGGGUUACAGGAGGACUCAAAGGCACUAGAGUGCCGGAAGAGGACUCGUGGGUAAACUGCUUACUCUGCAAGUGUGAGGACCAGCAUUGGGAUCUCCAGAGCUUGGGGAAAAACCUGGUGGAGCCCUGGGGAACAAAGACUGUGGACCCUUGGGGCUAGCUGCCUAUGCAGUCGAGCCAAAAUGGUAAGCUUCAGGUUCAAUGAGAGACCCUGCCUCAGAAAGGAAGGUGGAGAGGAGAUCAUGGAAAGACGUCCUGACUGACUUCUGCCUCCGCACAUGUCAAAACAGCAAAAUGGACAUGCACAUACACACACUUUUUAAAAGCACUGUGGCUUUCCCAGCUUGGAUCACAAGCAUCCUGGGUUGACAUUCUGAAGCAGCUAUCCCUUCUUGCCAUGAUGAGUGGGGUUUCUUCCAUGGUACCUUCCCCACUGAUUCUGCCUGGCAGUUAUUGAGUAUCCUGAACAUGCAUUGGUCAGUGGUCACUUUUCUAGCCACUUUAUUUCUUGUCUUUGUAGGUGAUCUGUAUCUUCUUAAAGGACUCCAAGUGCUGCCGACUC